UACGGAGGGGGCUAGCGUUGUUCGGAAUUACUGGGCGUAAAGCGCACGUAGGCGGCUUUGUAAGUUAGAGGUGAAAGCCCGGGGCUCAACCCCGGAACUGCCUUCAAAACUCCCAGUCUGGAGGUCGAGAGAGGUGAGUGGAAUUCCGAGUGUAGAGGUGAAAUUCGUAGAUAUUCGGAGGAACACCAGUGGCGAAGGCGGCUCACUGGCUCGAUACUGACGCUGAGGUGCGAAAGCGUGGGGAGCAAACAGG
rnacentral:rRNA from 1 species